rnacentral:rRNA from 1 species
AGAGUUUGAUUAUGGCUCAGGAUGAACGCUAGCGGCAGGCUUAAUACAUGCAAGUCGAGGGGCAGCACAGAUAGCAAUAUUGGGUGGCGACCGGCAAACGGGUGCGGAACACGUACACAACCUUCCGAUAAGUGUGGGAUAGCCCAGAGAAAUUUGGAUUAAUACCACGUAAGAUAGUUGGAUGGCAUCAUCUGAUUAUUAUAGCUGAGGCGCUUAUUGAUGGGUGUGCGUCUGAUUAGAUAGUUGGUGAGGUAACGGCUCACCAAGUCAACGAUCAGUAGCUGAUGUGAGAGCAUGAUCAGCCACACGGGCACUGAGACACGGGCCCGACUCCUACGGGAGGCAGCAGUAAGGAAUAUUGGUCAAUGGACGCAAGUCUGAACCAGCCAUGCCGCGUGAAGGAUUAAGGUCCCCUGGAUUGUAAACUUCUUUUAUUUGGGACGAAAAAGGGUCUUUCUAGACCAACUGACGGUACCAGAUGAAUAAGCACCGGCUAACUCCGUGCCAGCAGCCGCGGUAAUACGGAGGGUGCAAGCGUUAUCCGGAUUCACUGGGUUUAAAGGGUGCGUAAGCGGGUAGGUAAGUCAGUGGUGAAAUCCUAGAGCUUAACUCUAGAACUGCCAUUGAUACUAUUUAUCUUGAAUAUUGUGG